CAUCGCCUCCUGCUUAUAGAAACAUAGGAGGUCCCGCCUGCCCUGUGACCAAAAGUUUAACGGCCGCGGUAUUUUAACCGUGCAAAGGUAGCGCAAUCAAUUGUCUUUUAAAUGGAGACCUGUAUGAAUGGCAUAACGAGGGUUUUACUGUCUCUUUUUUCUGGUCAAUGAAACUGAUCUGCCCGUGCAGAAGCGGGCAUAAUAACACAAGACGAGAAGACCCUAUGGAGCUUUAGACGCCCACCAACCGCGAAGAGCCCCCCGACAACGGGCCACCAAAUAACGCGACCAUGGUAUAAACGUCUUCGGUUGGGGCGACCACGGGGGAACACAAAGCUCCCGAGAGGAUUGGGGAUCCAACCCUAAAACCAAGAGCCACAGCUCUAAGUCACAAAACAUUUGACCCAGAAUGAUCCGGCUCAUUGCCGAUCAACGGACCAAGUUACCCUAGGGAUAACAGCGCAAUCCUCUCCCAGAGUCCAUAUCGACGAGAGGGUUUACGACCUCGAUGUUGGAUCAGGACAUCCUAAUGGUGCAGCCGCUAUUAAGGGUUCGUUUGUUCAACGAUUAAAGUCCUACGUGAUCU
rnacentral:rRNA from 1 species